UUUUGAUGUGGUUGUUGAAGGUGUGGUUGAAGUAGUUGACUCAGGUGUACUUGUAGGAGGGCUGGUUGGUUUCAUAGCUGUACUUGAGGUUGGGUCAUGAGUUGAUGUACUUGUUUCAAGGAUACUUGAGGUUGUAGCAUGUUCAGUUGUGCUUGUUGGAAGAUAGGUUGAUGUGGUUCUUUCAUUUGUAAUCCCAGUUGUUGGAGAAUGUGUUGGUGUAACUGUUAUAGGCAUGCUGGUGGCAGUGCUGGUUGAUGCAGCUGAUGACAUAGUUGUCUCAGGUGUACUUGUAGGAGGGCUUGUUGGUUUCAUAGCUGUACUUGAGGUUGGGUCAUAAGUUGAUGUACUUGUUUCAAGGAUACUUGAGGUUGUAGCAUGUUCAGUUGUGCUUGUUGGAAGAUAGGUUGAUGUGGUUCUUUCAUUUGUAAUCCCAGUUGUUGGAGAAUGUGUUGGUGUAACUGUUUUAGGCAUGCUGGUGUAGAUUGGUGUAGAUUGCUCUGAUGUGGUUUGAUCAAAUGAAGUUACGCUGGUGGUGGGGUUGGUUGAUGUACUAUGACGUGGUGUACUUGUAGGAGGGCUGGUUGGUUUCAUAGCUGUACUCAAGGUUGGGUCAUAAGUUGAUGUACUUGUUUCAAGGAUACUUGAGGUUGUAGCAUGUUCAGUUGUGCUUGUUGGAAGAUAGGUUGAUGUGGUUCUUUCAUUUGUAAUCCCAGUUGUUGGAGAAUGUGUUGGUGUAACUGUUUUAGGCAUGCUGGUGUAGAUUGGUGUAGAUUGCUCUGAUGUGGUUUGAUCAAAUGAAGUUACGCUGGUGGUGGGGUUGGUUGAUGUACUAUGAUGUGGUGUACUUGAACUUGUAGGAGGGCUGGUUGGUGUCAUAGCUGUACUCAAGGUUGGGUCAUGAGUUGAUGCACUUGUUUCAAGGAUACUUGAGGGUGUAGCAUGUUCAGUUGUGCUUGUUGGAAGAUAGGUUGAUGUGGUUCUUUCAUUUGUAAUCCCAGUUGUUGGAGAAUUUGUUGGUGUAACUGUUUUAGGCAUGCUGGUGGCAGUGCUGGUUGAUGCAGCUGAUGCUGGAAGGGUGACUGGUGUAGUCGUUUUUGAUGUGGCUGUUGAACGUGUGGUUGAAGUAGUUAACUCAGGUGUACUUGCAGUUGUUGGAGACUCAACAAGUUCACCUGAAUCAACCUCCCCUGAAC
ensembl:lncRNA